rnacentral:rRNA from 1 species
GACGAACGCUGGCGACGUGCUUAACACAUGCAAGUCGAACGAUGAAGCUAGAGCUUGCUCUGGUGGAUUAGUGGCGAACGGGUGAGUAACACGUGAGUAACCUGCCCCGAACUCUGGGAUAACUGCUGGAAACGGUAGCUAAUACUGGAUACGACCAACGAAGGCAUCUUCUGUUGGUGGAAAGAAUUUCGGUUCGGGAUGGACUCGCGGCCUAUCAGCUUGUUGGUGAGGUAACGGCUCACCAAGGCGACGACGGGUAGCCGGCCUGAGAGGGUGAUCGGCCACACUGGGACUGAGACACGGCCCAGACUCCUACGGGAGGCAGCAGUGGGGAAUAUUGCACAAUGGGCGCAAGCCUGAUGCAGCAACGCCGCGUGAGGGACGACGGCCUUCGGGUUGUAAACCUCUUUUAGUAGGGAAGAAGCGAAAGUGACGGUACCUGCAGAAAAAGCACCGGCUAACUACGUGCCAGCAGCCGCCGCAG